GGGGAGGCUUAUAUACGGGGGGGGCUUAUACACGGACCACAUCUUAGGUUAAUAGUAAGAAAACACGUACUAUAUUUACGGACCGAAACUGCACAAAAAAUAUGUCCGUGACUCCUUGAGGCAAAAUCGGGACGAACUGUCAAGUGUUUUGUAAUCCUUUAUAACCUUUGUUUAAAUAAAUACAUACCGUAGACGUAGUCUUAGUUGAAAUUUAAUGCAAUGUAGUGGAUUUUUUUGUGUAAUUUACCGGUAUUAUAGUGUGAUGGGCUUAUAUACGGGUGGGCUUAUGUAGGGGUGGGCUUAUAUUCGGGGGGGGGCUUAUAUACGGAAUGGUGUGAACGUUAG